rnacentral:rRNA from 1 species
UACGUAGGGGGCAAGCGUUGUUCGGAAUUAUUGGGCGUAAAGAGCUCGUAGGCGGCUUGUCACGUCGGGUGUGAAAGCCCGGGACUUAACCCCGGGUCUGCAUUCGAUACGGGCUGGCUAGAGUGUGGUAGGGGAGAUCGGAAUUCCUGGUGUAGCGGUGAAAUGCGCAGAUAUCUGGAGGAAUACCGGUGGCGAAGGCGGCAUCCUGGACCGACAUUGACGCUGAGGAGCGAAAGCUAGGGGAGCAAACGGG